GAAUCCGACCAUGUUGUGUCUUCCUUGCCAAGAACAGACAGCAUCAUCUUUCAAACUGUGUACCUUCCUGACCGUCUCCAGUGGCUUCCUGUGCAGGCUGGUGAUGAAAAUCUGAGCUUGUUCUGUGGCCGGCUAAGCCCUGUUCUGAUUCCCGUGGCUUGCUGCUUCCACACCUGGGCUGUCCACUGUGCCUGGGCCACACUGCUGCCUUUUCCCUGAAAAGCCUUUCCACCUGUCUUCUACUGUGUCUGCCAGAGACUGUCCUCCUACCCAGUGACUACCAACUGC